UAAUACGAAGGGUGCAAGCGUUGUUCGGAUUUAUUGGGCGUAAAGCGCGCGUAGGCGGACCUGCAAGUCAGAUGUGAAAUCUCGGGGGCUCAACCCCCGAAACUGCGUCUGAAACUACAGGUCUAGAAUCUUGGAGGGGGAAGGGGAAUUUCACAUGUAGGGGUAAAAUCCGUAGAUAUGUGAAGGAACACCAGAGGCGAAGGCGCCUUCCUGGACAAGUAUUGACGCUGAGGCGCGAAAGCGUGGGGAUCAAACAGGAUUAGAUACCCUGGUAGUCCACGCUGUAAACGAUGAAUACUAGAUAUUGCAGGAUUUGAUCCCUGCAGUGUCGUAGCUAACGCGUUAAGUAUUCCGCCUGGGAAGUACGGUCGCAAGACUAAAACUCAAAGGAAUUGACGGGGGCCCGCACAAGCGGUNGGAUUAUGUGGUUUAAUUCGAAGCAACGCGCAGAACCUUACCUAGGCUU
rnacentral:rRNA from 1 species